rnacentral:lncRNA from 1 species
GGAGAGAGUGAAGGUAUUAAUAAGCUGUGGGCUGUGUCGGGGCAGCCACUUGGUCCAACUAUGCGUCUCUCCAUACCCAGCUUCAAUCAUAAGCACGGGCCCAAUCACUCAGUUAGAACUUACUAAAGAUAGGAAUGAAUGAAUGAAUGAAUGAAUGAAUGGAGUGGACAAAUUAAUAAUGCCGCAUGGAAACAAAGAAGGACAGGAACAUGAAAGUAAAGGAUUGCUUUGUCUGAAAACCAUACAGGCAGUAAAGGGCACACGUCUUCCUGGCACUCGGGGAAGCCGCACUGCCAGCAGCAGCUCUCGAGAGCUAGGACGCUGCACAGAAGCUAUACAUUUCCGAAGACAGAGAAGAGGAAAAAGGAGGUAGAGUCUGGUAUGAGGGCACCAGGGAACAUUUCCUUACUUCACAAUUUGGUGAACUGAGUAGAACUGCCUGACAUCACACAGAGGGUAAACUUCUGCCUAGGGCCAUGGAAAAAGGCAAGAAGGUCCCGUGACCAAGAAAUGACCAGCUCCACAGAGGAAAUGCAGGGCCACUCUCCGACUGGACCCCACUGUGCACAAGCCUGCUCAAUGUGAAGAUGACGAGGAUGAAAACCUUUAUGAUGAUCUACUCCUAUUUAUGUGGACUUGCUCUGGAUUAGGGAUGAGAAGACCUGACUCUACUGUUUUCUUGAUAAGUGACCUUGAACCAGACACAUGUGCUCAAGUUCCAUAUCUGUAAAAUGAAGAUACCUGGCCUUCCUACUUCACAAGGUUCUUUUGAAGAUCAAAUGUAAUACUGCAUAAUAAAGUGACUCAUAAAUU